rnacentral:rRNA from 1 species
UACGUAGGCAGCAAGCGUUGUUCGGAGUUACUGGGCGUAAAGGGUGCGUAGGCGGCCCUGUAAGUAUGGUGUGAAAUCUCCCGGCUCAACUGGGAGGGUGCGCUAUAGACUGCGGGGCUCGAGUGUGGGAGAGGAAAGUGGAAUUCCUGGUGUAGCGGUGAAAUGCGUAGAUAUGUGGAGGAACACCAGUGGCGAAGGCGACUCUCUGGUCUGUAACUGACGCUGAGGCGCGAAAGCGUGGGGAGCAAACAGG